GACGAACGCUGGCGGCGUGCCUAAUACAUGCAAGUAGAACGCACAGGAUGCACCGUAGUUUACUACACCGUAUUCUGUGAGUUGCGAACGGGUGAGUAACGCGUAGGUAACCUGCCUGGUAGUGGGGGAUAACUAUUGGAAACGAUAGCUAAUACCGCAUAAGAACAUUUACUGCAUGGUAGAUGUUUAAAAGGUGCAAAAGCAUCACUACCAGAUGGACCUGCGUUGUAUUAGCUAGUUGGUGAGGUAACGGCUCACCAAGGCAACGAUACAUAGCCGACCUGAGAGGGUGAUCGGCCACACUGGGACUGAGACACGGCCCAGACUCCUACGGGAGGCAGCAGUAGGGAAUCUUCGGCAAUGGGGGGAACCCUGACCGAGCAACGCCGCGUGAGUGAAGAAGGUUUUCGGAUCGUAAAGCUCUGUUGUAAGAGAAGAACGAGUGUGAGAGUGGAAAGUUCACACUGUGACG
rnacentral:rRNA from 1 species